rnacentral:tRNA from 1 species
GAGGGUAUAGCUCAAGUGGUAGAGCACAUGCUUAGCAUGCAUAAGGCCCUGGGUUGAAUCCCCAACAUCUUUA